CUGCCCUAUCUGCACUGGACACUUGGGACCACAGCCGCUGCCCUGUGAGGAACAUGGCAUCUUAACCAGUAAUCACAAGCAGAAAAUGCUUUCAAAGUGGAGUGACAGGCAGCUGCAUUAGGGCUGCAAAUGAGGACAUGCCUGUGUGGGCCAUGGCACUAUGACUCCAGAGAAGAGAAGAUGUUAAAAAGGCUACAUGGGCAGAGAAAGAAGAUAGGCCUGUGUCCACAUCA